CAUGUAGGCGGUCUGUCAAGUCUGAUGUGAAAGCCCGGGGCUCAACCCUGGAAGUGCAUUGGAAACUGGCAGACUUGAGUACGGGAGAGGAAAGUGGAAUUUCGAGUGUAGGGGUGAAAUCCGUAGAUAUUCGAAGGAACACCAGUGGCGAAGGCGGCUUUCUGGACCGAUACUGACGCUGAGAUGCGAAAGCGUGGGGAGCAAACAGGAUUAGAUACCCUGGUAGUCC
rnacentral:rRNA from 1 species